rnacentral:tRNA from 1 species
CCAUCUCAAGGUUGUGGGUUCGACCCCCACGUUAGGCUGCCUGGCUAGCUCAAUCGGUAGAGCGUGAGACUCUUACG